rnacentral:rRNA from 1 species
UACGUAGGGCGCAAGCGUUGUCCGGAAUUAUUGGGCGUAAAGAGCUCGUAGGCGGUGUGUCACGUCGAUCGUGAAAACUUGGGGCUUAACUCUGAGCUUGCGGUCGAUACGGGCAUCACUGGAGUUCGGCAGGGGAGACUGGAAUUCCUGGUGUAGCGGUGAAAUGCGCAGAUAUCAGGAGGAACACCGGUGGCGAAGGCGGGUCUCUGGGCCGAUACUGACGCUGAGGAGCGAAAGCGUGGGGAGCGAACAGG